rnacentral:tRNA from 1 species
UGGCUCUGUGGGUAGAGUAGUUGUCUUGUGAUCAAAAGGUUGUAGGUUCAAUUCCUGC